AUUAGGCCCCUAGGAAGUCGCUCCUGCCUCAUGGUGGCAGUCGCACUGAUAAGGGCGCCAAUAAUAACUCUUUUACCGACGGUCGCUGUUCAGUUGACCCGUAGCUGUAUCAGCAACAUUAAGGAAAAGUACAUUU